rnacentral:lncRNA from 1 species
GAAACAAAUAAAAGCUCACAAAGAUGUUCAUAGCAAAAGAAAUAAAGCCAGGUCACCAAUAACUCACACUUUCUCCUCAUCAGAUAGCACUUCCUCCCCAAGCAUUUUAACAGCAACUUGAAUACCACGCCAUGAUGCUAAACGGUAAGUUCCCUGCUCGGUAAUAAAAACAAUCAUUAACUGAGUCUUUUGAUUACCAUGUCAAAGUUCCUCUGCUAAAUUUUCUGACCACAGGCAUGUCUUAUCGCUAAGGAGGCAAUCGGCAAUCACAUUAAAGGAACAAGCAAGUCGCAAUGAACUUCUCCCCAAUGGCUGCACAGCAUUUUUUGGUCGAUCAGGGUUCAAUUAUUCUGCCAUCCUUCUUAAGUUCGUACCCAUUCAUUGUAUUCCAAGAACAAUUGUUCUAACAGCUACAAAACUCAGCUCACAAGUCACGACCUUUGCUAGCAACUAAGGAUCUGAAAACUCAACCUAAGGUAUCUGAAAAGAUGAAACAACAUAAGAAGCCAGG